UCAAAAAANUUUGGCGGUAUUUUAAGCUUUUUAGAGGAAUUUGCUCUGUAAUGGAUAAAACGCCUUAAUCUUACUUAAUUUUGUUAGCAGUUUGUAUACCACUAUAUAAAUUAUAUUAAAUAGUUAAUAUUUUAAAUUUUUUUAUAAAAAGUAUAUUAAGUCAAGGUGCAGCAGAAAGUUAUGAAUGAAGUGAAUUACAUUGAUUAUAAUUAAUUUUUAUAUUGAAAAUAAAAAUUAGGAUUUAAUAGUAAAAUACUAAUAUAAUGAGUAUUUGAACAAAGCUCUAAAAUAUGCACAUAUCGCCCGUCGGCUCUCGAA
rnacentral:rRNA from 1 species